UACGUAGGGGGCAAGCGUUGUCCGGAUUUAUUGGGCGUAAAGAGCGUGUAGGCGGCUUGGUAGGUCCGCUGUGAAAACUCGAGGCUCAACCUCGAGAUGUCGGCGGAAACCACUUGGCUAGAGUCCGGAAGAGGAGAGUGGAAUUCCCGGUGUAGCGGUGAAAUGCGCAGAUAUCGGGAAGAACACCUAUGGCGAAGGCAGCUCUCUGGGACGGUACUGACGCUGAGGCACGAAAGCUAGGGGAGCAAACAGG
rnacentral:rRNA from 1 species